rnacentral:ncRNA from 1 species
UAAAGCCGAGCAUAAAGGCAUAUAAACAAAUGCACAUUCCAACGCAGAUAGUGACUGCGGAUUUAAAAAUUAAACUGAUUUAAGAAUGUAAAGGAGUUAUAG